rnacentral:rRNA from 1 species
GGAACACGUGAGAAAUCUGCCUUCAACACUGGGAUAACUCCGGGAAACCGGGGCUAAUACCGGAUAUGAAAUCUGCGGGCAUCCGCGGAUUUGGAAAGUUUUUCGGUUGAAGAUGAUCUCGCGGCCUAUCAGCUUGUUGGUGAGGUAAUGGCUCACCAAGGCGACGACGGGUAGCCGGCCUGAGAGGGCGACCGGCCACACUGGGACUGAGACACGGCCCAGACUCCUACGGGAGGCAGCAGUGGGGAAUAUUGGGCAAUGGAGGAAACUCUGACCCAGCGACGCCGCGUGCGGGAUGAAGGCCUUCGGGUUGUAAACCGCUUUCAGCAGGGAAGAAGCGAAAGUGACGGUACCUGCAGAAGAAGCACCGGCUAACUAUGUGCCAGCAGCCGCGGUAAUACAUAGGGUGCAAGCGUUGUCCGGAAUUAUUGGGCGUAAAGAGCUCGUAGGUGGUUCGUCACGUCGGAUGUGAAACUCUGGGGCUUAACCCCAGACCUGCAUUCGAUACGGGCGAGCUUGAGUAUGGUAGGGGAGUCUGGAAUUCCUGGUGUAGCGGUGGAAUGCGCAGAUAUCAGGAGGAACACCAAUGGCGAAGGCAGGACUCUGGGCCAUUACUGACACUGAGGAGCGAAAGCGUGGGGAGCGAACAGGAUUAGAUACCCUGGUAGUCCACGCCGUAA